GCCACAGUUAAAUAAUCUGUAGAGUAAAUUGCAUGUUUGGCCCUCAAAUUUUAAUUUAUUAUAAUUUUUAAUUCAAAAUUUGAAAUUUAUUGUAAUAAAAUUUUAUAACCCAAUUUAGAUUAUUACAUAUAUUAAUUUAUAACAAAUGUAAAAACAUUGUACUAGUGUGUUAAUUUUGUAAUGCACCAAUAAUUAAGAAUCGCAUUAUUUGUACGAUAAUACAUUAAUAUUUAAUCAAUUAAAUAAUACCCGCAUUAUAGUUUAACCAAACGUGCAAUUUACCCAAAGUCUCUGUGAUACCAUGGUCGCUGGGGCUGUGCCUUGCUCCGUCUUUCGUGCUUGGCGUUUGCACCGUCCAUAAAUACCACCGCAGCUCGUCAUUUGCCGAGCGGUGUCGUCGUUACCUUUCUGCUUCACGGUCAGCCGGCUCAGCUUCACACGCUGCUUUGACGCAAACUCCCUCAGUACCUCUGACAUUAAAAACCAUCUCAUCUAUACUAGUCAAAUGAUGUAAAACUACUGUUAUUUUUCGAAAGCUUAAGCUACUUAAAAACUGUAUUUUUAAUAUUCACAUUCAACAUUCUUUCUCACGUUGAAAUUUAAGACCUGUUGAUAGACUCGAACAUAAACUAAUGUUAAAUGGGAUGGCGGGGUUGUAAUACCAAACGAAAUUAUAUGAAAUAAUAGGUAUUUUUCAAGAUUUUAAGUCGUUAAAAAACGAUAUUUUUAAUAUUUAAAUUCAAAAUAAAAAGACGAUGAAAUGGUGCACGACAAAAGAAAAAAAUCUCAGUACAAGAAUGCAUUUUAGAUGACGCUUGAAAAAUUUUCAAGAUCCAACACGUUCUUACAAUAUAGCAAAUAAUAACACUUCAAAAAAUAUCGCACAUGAACCCUCAAUUAUAUCAAAUCAACUUAUUAAAUAAUAAAUUUUACUAUUAUUUGUAAUUUUUAGAUUUUUAAAAAUUCUGACGCACGUCAAAAUAUAUUUUACUGUCGCUCGGCAUAAGUGGCGUUAUAUAUACACAACGGCCGCGACUCUUUAUUUACCGAUGCAUUUAAAUAUGACGCUAUGCUGUAUUGAGAUGCUUUUAAGCAUAUAUAUAUAUAUAUAUAUAUAUAUAUAUAUAUAGGAUAUAUAAUAUAUAUAUAUAUACUAUAUAUAUAUAUAUAUAUAUAUAUAGAGUGAAGCCUACUAUACUUCUGGAAGUACGGAGCUUCCGUGCUUUUAGGUCGUUUUCGAUGUUGUGAUUUUCGAAUCGUCAAUCGGCUCCGUUAAACUUGAUCUAGAAUAUUUGAAGUACUUAGAAAAUAAAUUUUAAUUUUCGAUAACAUCUGCUUGGUGAUCGAAGGUACUCAAAAUCAAUAAUUUUAAAUAGCCGUGUGGAGCCGUUUGCAAGUUUAACGGUGUAGAAAUAUUCAAAUCACGUAAAAUUUUGAUAAAAAAUUUUUUAUACUAUAUAAAACAAAUCAAUAUUUUUGAUCUAAAAUUUUAAUAUCAUAUUAUCACGUUUUGUAAGAUUUUUAUUUUCAGCCGUUAUUUUGAGCCCCUUAGUUCACUAGGCAAAUGAUAUCGAAAAAUUGUAAAAUUUAUUUUCUAGGUACUUCAAAUACUCUAGAUCAAUUUUAACGGGCCGAUCGACGAUUCGAAAGUCGCAACAUCAAAAUAACCUGAAAGCAUGAAAAGCCCUCCAUGCUUCCAGAAUAUAAUAGCCUCUUCUCUCUCUCUCUCUCUCUCUCUCUCUCUCUCUCUAUUAUAUAUAUAUAUAUAUAUAUAUAUUCUUAAAUAUUAAUUUUUUUUCGUAAUGGUGGGGGCCGACCUUCGAAGGUGACGAGGCGGUAGACGCGGCCGAUGAGGAGGGUAUCGUCGGGGCGGAGCAGCUUAAGAUGCUUCACCGGGUGAGCAGCAGCAGCAGGAGCAGCAGGAGCAGGGGGUGUGGUGGCGGUGACGAUAACGGCGGCGACGUAGUGGCCGGGGUUAGCGGCCAUGACGUGGCAGGCGCUGAGCGACCAAUAGAAUCGUUCGACCCUCCCCCCCGGGUGCUCGAUCACCACCGUCGCCGCCUCCGCCGCUUGGCAAUUCCCCAUCUAUCGAUAUAUAGAUCCCUCCUACACUCCUACGUACCUUAGUUUGUACGUACGUUACGUGUGUAUACGUAAAUGUAUACGUAUCUCUCUCUCUCUCUCUAUCUAAGAGGAGGGACGAUCCCAAACCCAAAUUAAGCGAUGUGUGGUGGAGCGAAAACAAGCGGAGGGGGAAUGAAGGGGAGAGAGAAAGGAGGGUGAGGUGGCGUGAAGUGCGUUUAAUACGGGCGUGAGAGUGCGGUGCGGAUUUAUUUAUUGGGCUUUUUUUACAAAUAGCCCCCUUAUAAUUUGUUUUUUUUAAAUUGGCCCUGUCAAAAAUUUAUUUGCGAAAAUGGCCCUACCCCCGCUACGUCAGCGCCACGUCAGCGCCACGCGGGCGGGACUGGGCCAGAUGGUUAUGUUGAACACAGUGAACCAUUCACCGUGUCCAAUAUAAAAUGGUUAAGAUCGAAAUAUUUGUAUUGGACACGGUGAAUCAUUUACCGUGUCCAAUACAAAUAAUUGGACACGGUGAAUGGUUCACCGUAUCUAAUACAAAUACCUCCAACUUACUCAUUGUUGGGGUAUUUGUAUUGGACACGGUGAAUCAUUCACCGUGUCCAAUACAAAAAUUUUGUAUUGAACUCGGUGAAUGGUUCACCGUGUUCAACUUAAACACCUGCGCCCGCCCUGCCCGCGUGGCGUUGACGUGGCGCUGGCGUGGCAGGGGCAGGGCCAUUUUUGUAAAUAAUUUUUGGACGGGGCUAUUUUUGCAAAUAAAAUUUAUCAGGGGGCUAUUUGUAAAAAAAACCCUUAUUUAUUAGGUGAAAUGCAUUAAUAUCCCUGCAAACGUAAUAAACUACAAAUAAGUUUCUACGAACUUUAAUUUUUAUAUAUUACUAGCGCAAAAAUUCUAAUAUUUUCUAAUAUGUUCUUUUGAUUUGUUAUAAUUAUAAAAUUAUUUAUGAUUUAAGUAAAAUAUCAAGUUUGUUAUUACAAAUAUGUACCUCUAAAAGCCACAACAGUAAAACAAAAAUAUCAAAUUAUCUUAUAAAUUAAUCAGAGUUAAGCAUUUAAUUAUGAUUAACUAAAAUUUUCUAACGGAUUCUAACGACAGGAACAUAUUUAAAAAUAUUAGGAUUUUUAUAGGCAUAUGAAAAUUGAACUUUUAAGAGACAUAUUUGUAAUUCAAUAUAUUUACAGGGACCUGUAAGAAAUUAAUCCUAUUUAUUAUUGAGUCAUUAUUUAUAAAUAAUAUUUUUAGAGUCCGACUGCUGUACUAUCAAUAACACGGAUACCUUCGUGCUACCAAGUUAUUUUUAUUUAUAAUUUUUUGAUAUCAUUUACCUAUCAAAAAAGUAGUCUAAGAAUAAACGGCUGAAAAUAAAAAUCUUUUUAAAAAUUAAUGAUAAAUCUUUUUAAAAAAUAAUGAUAAAAGACUUGAAUUUAAAAUCAGAUGUACUGAUUUUACUCUAAAUAGUAAAAAAAAAAUUAUAAAAAUUUUAUUGGAUUUGAAUUGUUUUACAUAGUUAAAUUCGCAAACGCAUCACAUUGAUCAUCAAAAUUAUCAAUUUUGAGACUUUUUGAUUACUGACCAAAUAAUAUUAAAAAAUUAUGAAAUUUAGUUUUCAAAUACUUUAAAUAGUGUAAAUCAAGUCUAACGAAGCUAUUCGUCGAUUUGGAAGCUGCAUUAUUGAAAACAAUUUGACAGCACGGAGGUCAGCCUGACAGCCUCUGUGCUAUCGAUAGUAUAGCAGCCUAAUUCAUAUUUUUAUAUCACUUUUAUAUUAAUAACUUAUUAAUACUUGGUUUGCUAAAUAAAAUUGCAAAAUAUGAUUAAAUUAGUUCAGAAAGUUCAUGCAAAAAUUUACAAUAAAUAAAACUAGUUUGAGGACCAAAAGCAUAUAUAAUUUAUCCUAAACUUUUUGAAAUAGCAAAUUUUAUAAUUUUUUAAUAUUAGUUUUUUUAAAAAAAUUACAAUAUUUUGUUUGAUUUUGACAUUUUUACUAAUUUGUUAAUUAAAAUUCAUAAAACUUAAAGUGGGAUUCAGUUUCUGAUUCAUUAAAUUUUGAACAAGAAUUAAGCUAUUGUAAUCAGUGGUAGUGGUUGAUAGUUUUGAAAUAAAGGUACGUAAUUAGAGAGCACACAUCAUAAUUAAAGAUAGUUGUUCAUUAUAUAUAUAAUGAAUAGUUUUUUCUUUUUUAUGGUUAAAAGACGUAAUUUUUUAUAUGUUUUUGCUCAUGAGCAUUUUUCUUGUCCUUUUUAUCUCAAAAAUAAAUAAAAACAUUGAGGUUUUAUUGAUCCCUCUUGGCUUAUAUGGAAAAACUAUCUGUGUGGAAGCCAAAAAAAACCUCUCAUAUUUGAAUCAGGAUUUUUACGAUUUUGCUCCAUCGAAUUCAAAUUAUCUAUUACUUAAUUUGAUUUAGUUUUACAAAGUUUACUAAUCAUUGUUUGAUUUUCUCCGAUACAUUUUAGGUUAGGCAAAGUAAUUAACAGUUCUCUAUUAGAGAUUUUAAUUAGAGCAAAAAUUUAUGUAAGCUUUUUAGAUAUGAGGGCGGAAGCUCUACUUAAAGCUCGUAUUCCUGAUACAACAGUAAUAAGAAAAUUGAUGCAGCAACAUUCAUUCACUGCUAUAAAAGAGUACUAUUAUAAAUUCUCAUAGUAUUAUCUUUAUAUAUAUAUAUUUUUUUGUGAGAAAAAGAUAGUAUGAUAUCCAUUUUAUCCAUUAGAAAGAUAAACUAUGCUACAGGGGUGAGACAACGUGGGCCUCGAGGGCUUAAAGUUACAAAAGAAAAAACAAAAUGCCUCCAACCGCUUAAUAUUCUGCUUAAUUUUGCUUAAUUUGCUCCCAAAACUUCGCAAGCUGCUUAACCUUGUGGAUAGCUAACAAUGUGUCCAACUGGAUCUUUCUAAAAAUCAUAUCAUUACUAACCUUCCAGAUGAUCCAUCAGCAGACUACUAAACCUGUUAGUCUGUGUCUCGUAGUUUGUCCACCUACCCCACCCUUUCAUCUAUCCCAGACAGAGAUAACAUCUUCUCCCAUAUUCUUGUCCUGAAUGUCCUCCACUCCCAUUACUAAAAUAAAUUUGGAGAAUACACACUGUAUGAAUAAAUGAUCCACAGUUUUUUCUUCAAUCCGACACAGCACACAGGCUGUGUCUCCAGUCCUCCCUCCCUUCACUAGGUUGUUUGUCGUAAGGGGUUUCUUCUUAAGUACCAGCCAACAGAACACUUUACCUUUUAGGGGUAUUCAAAGUUUUCAAAUCUAGUAUUGUUUAUAUGUUGGUUUUCACUAUAUGAAUUAUUGUAUUGAUUGGUUAAUGUCCCAAAUGUGAGAUUCCUAUAUAAAUUUACAAAUAUAUAAUUAAUAUAUAAUGGCAAUAACAGAGAAAAGACGAGAUAGCAUAUAUUUAUUUAUACUAAACAAGAGUGUAAGCCAUUUAUAUAAAAAUAAGCAAUAAAUAAAAAUUAGGGCUAUAACUUUGCCUUAUAACAACUUUCUAAUAAAAUAUUUAUUUUGCUAAUGGGCCGACCUUGGGCCGUGACUCGUUUGAAGCCCAUAUAGUGCGCAAAUAUCGAAUAUGUUGCCCGAAAGUCCGAACCCGCCUUUUUAAAAUUUGCGCAAGGUUUAUGGGAGUCCAUUUAAUUCCCGGCCUGGUCCAAUGUAGCUGCAUCUUCAUCAACUACAAUAAUGUAUAGUUUCCUUAACUAUCUCGCGGUUUGAAUAUCUGUAUCGAUCAAUGUAUUAGUCAAUACUGUAUAAGUUAGUGUGUAAAUUGUAGAUGAUAUAUCAGUAUUUCAGCAUAUUAGAAACUUUUUAGCCCGCAAACUGCGUUCUCAUAACGCAACGCAUGCUUUUGUUUUUCUCCCAAACGAAUACAAAUGGACCGUAAGCGCGGCCCGCUUAUAAGCAAGCAGGGCCAAACCCCUAACUUAGUCGGCAAACUUAUCUAAACUUGGGGCCAAGUUCUCAAGCAGCAUCUUUUUUAAGAGUCUUAGGCUUAAUUUGGUAUUGAACUCUAUUUAACGCUAUUAGAUAAAAUAGAAGGCUUAGUCUGGUAUUGAGCUCUAUUUAACGCUAUUAGAUAAAGUAGAGUUGGCGUAAAAACAUAUAAGGAUAUGUUUCUGCAUUAUAUGGUGAGAUCGUAAAAAAUAUAUCAUAACCGACUAAUCACGAUAUACGAAGCGCAAUAAUACGUACGGAAACAAACAAAAUAUUUUCUCAUAGUAUUUUUUUACCACACGUAAUGUAAUUUCCCCGCAUUUUCAAACAAAGCCCAUUUUGUUUUCGCUGUUUACCGCAAGUCUCCCUUUGUAAUUUAUUAGCAUCAAAUAUUCACCUAUCAAAAUGCCCUGAUGCAAUUAUGUUUGGUGCCAAAGGUACAGUCCAAGGUUGUCCUCCACCAUGUGGAGUAUUCAAUAAACUGGUUUGACUCCAAAUUAAUGAAAAAGCACACUAUCCAAAAGUCAAUAUCCAUCUUUGCAUUAACAUCCAUGGUCCCAUUCUUGUAAAAUGGAAAAAAAAAUUAGUUUCAUUUAUUUCACAGCAAUAAUCUACUAGCUAUAAAAAUGCCAAAAAAAAUAGGAAAAAAAAGAAAAUAUUAAGUCAUAUAACCUAAAUCAUUCAUAGUGGCUAUUUCCUCUAAUUGAAUGUGGAAUAUAAAAGAUAAUUGGUAUAUAUAUCGACUUUCGUGCAAUCAUUGAUAAGUCCUAUUUAUUAGAAACGGAAAAGUUCGUAGUUUCAUUUAAUGUUUUAUAAAAUGAUCUGUUUGGAUAAAAUUAAAAGAAUUUCUAAUUUGUUAUGCGUGAAAUGUUAAAGACGUACAAUUGAGAAAUGCAUCUAGGGGAGAAAUAUGCUGCGUAAUAUAAUCAAAAUUAAGAGUAUAAAAAAGGCCUAUCUCUUUAAAAAAAAUCUAGUCCAAGAUAUAUUUAUUACUCUCCUCAUUUAAUUGAUAUACACAUAAGAACCCAUAACUAAGUAAAUUACGAAAAAAAUUUCAACCUACUAAAUCCACUGCAUCACAGAGCUGGUUGGAUAAAAAAUUAGAUCCAUAUCUAACAUUGAUCAAAUCAACACCGCAUGUAAUUUGACCCUUAUGUUCUAUAAGUUAGCAUUUGCUAUAUUAUACAUAAUAAUUGGGUAAUUGGGAAUUGAGUGGGAAUGCUUUUAAACUUCUUGGAAUUUCUAUGUCCUUUUUGACAAGGGCGUCUAAAUUUUAUAAGUAUUACAUUAUUAACCUAGUAAUCAAGUGGUUUUAAGUACACUUUAUAGGCGACGUUAAGAUUUGUAGAUUAUCAGACCAGUUAAACGAUGAGUAAUAAUGAUGAAAAAUCACGAAAUGUAGUUUUAGAAAAUUCCUAAGAGGUUGACCAUGUAUAAAAGUGUCGAUCAUCGGUUCAUAUUAUCCAUCACCUAAAAUGUUAGUUUGGAUAGCAGUGUUCUAAAAUCUAGAUAGAACUGGUCGGUUCGGCUGGUUUGACUGUGACCACUUAAUAAGCAGUUCGGUUAAAUCAGCAAACGGGUGAACCAGCCCAAUUUUAAACAAAUCGGCUAUGUUUUUUUUUUCUUUCUUUUUUUUUUCUAUUUUUCAUUUUUUUCUUCACUAAUUUUAAUUUCAUUUAUGGUUCAUUUUUGCUAAUUAUAUUUUUUAUUGUGAAAAGUGAAACUUGAAAACUUAUAUUUAUUUAAUUUAGUUGAGAAAUCAGUAUUCCAUAAUUAAGUACGAUACUAACAUAUAUAUUAUCAUAUAUACAAUUUUUAAUAUAAUAAAAUUUAAAAAAUAAUUAAAUAUUUAUAACAUCAUGCUGAACUUAUUAGUCUCGGUUGAACUAGUAAUUCAUGAUCCAGUAAUAUUUUUCGAUUGUUGUUCAACUAAAAUUCUAAAAUAUCGACGUCCAAAAGUAUUCUAACUCAAUUCUUUUUUUUUUUUUUUGAUAAAUAAGGUAGCACGGCUCCCCUUCGUUUAUUUCAUGUAGAAAUAAACUUAGCUGAAAAUGUGAAUCAAGUAGGAUUCGAACUCUGGGUCUCAGGUACCAACCAUCAUCACUACAACAAAAACGGUCUAUAGCGACACUUUUAAAUGUAGGUACAUGUCAAAAAAAUGCUGCUAGCUAAAAUUACCGACACUUUUAAAAAGUGUUGCUAUAUGUGGGGUCGCUAGGUAUAUAGUGACAGUUAAAGAGUGUCGCUAUAACCUAAAAGAGUGCUGCUAAUUUACAAACACUUAUUUAAGUAUUUAGCAACCGCCGAAACUCUAUAUCGUUGGCUGCGGUGGCGGAGGAGAACGACAGGAAAGGCUCUUCGUCUAAAAUUUCAGUGGAUUGAGUGAAGAGAGAAGAAAAGAUGGUAAUUGAUUUUUCUCUUUUUUUUUUUUCUUUUCUGUUUGUAAUCGUGCCAAAUAGACCGGGUGUGGUGGGUUGAGUAGAGUAAUCUUUUAUUUUUGGUUGGAUUGGGCUUUAUAUUUAGGCAUUAGUAGAUAUUUUUUUAAAGUUUUAGCAUAAAUAGGACACUUACUCAAAAGUGUCCCAAACAUGUGUCGCUGUAAUCUAAUUCUGUUGUAGUGUUGCCACUUGCUCUAGGGACGGUCGGUAACUCAAUUCUAAUAAUUGCGCGACAAUUAUUUGAUUUGAUGUAGAAGUUAUGUGCCUCGUGAAACUCAUAACUGUUUCAAGCUGCUACUACAGAAAUCUCUAGUAACUUUUCUUUUUCUUUUUUUUUUUCUUCUUCCAACGGAGACAAACUAUUUAUUCUUCUGGGGCCAAAAGAGCCAGGAAUUUACCAACCCUAGUAGACAUGAAUGAAUCCCCCUCCAGAAUAUAAAAUAUAAAAUAAAAUAAAAUAAAAAGAAAAAAGAAAAGAAAAGAAAAGAAAAAAGUCUAUGAGCCAGCUCAUAGAGAGUCCUCAACUGCUUCUGCUUUUUUUUUCUCCUUUAGCAACCCCACAAGGCACAACAGUGCUUUUGAAGGAGUCCACACUUUGACUACAACUGGCUUGUGUUUUUCCCUAUCUCACCUUGACCUGUGUGCUUUGUGGUAGUGCACACAUUUUGAAGGCUCAAGUUUCAACUCCAACCAUGUGAGAUGGGUGGGUUAGGGCUUGUUUAAUGAAAUGCUAUUUAAAAGAUACUAUUAGCUAAUUGAAGCACUAUUUUUUAGUUACAUUAUUUACGUUUUCUCUUGGGCAGCUGAGUCAAAAGUUUCGCUUUUAGGCCUUAAAAUUAUAUUUGUCACAAUCUUUACUAACAAACUACCGAUAAUUACGAUCACUUGUGCAGAUUUUUGAUCAUUGGAUAGAUAUAUCUACGAGUUAGCACAAUAUGUUGCUUACUCCACUUGUUGUUAACUUGUUAUUGAACUGCGAUUUUAGAAGAACCACUUAAACAGGCAUAUGAUCACCAGGACAUAACUACUGUGAUAGCUUAAUUAACCUUAAUCGUGCUUAAGAACCAUUUAAGAUUCGCAUAAUAUUAGGAAUAAAUAGCCAGGAUCCAAACUAACCCCAUCUAAUAAUUGGGAGAGGAUAGUACAACCAUAAAUGACAAGCGUCAACAGAUCUCACCAGGGGAGUGUGGAAGAGAGGACCAUUGAAUUGGGUUCACGAGAUAGUGAUAUGGUGUGGGGGUUUAUAUAUAUAUAUAUAUAUAUAUAUAUAUAUAUAUAUAUAUAUAUAUAUAUAUAUAUAUAGAGAGAGAGAGAGAGAGAGAGAGAGAGAGAGAGAGAGAGAGAGAGAGAGAGAGAGAGAGAGUCCGGAUAGGAUACUAUCGAUAGCACAAAGAAUUUGGUGCUAUCGAGUUUUCUCCCGUUAGAUUUAACUCUUUAAUUAUUUUUACCCGUUAGAUUAUACUAUUCAACCAACCACUCACUCAAUCCUAAGGAGUUCACAUCAUCCUAACCACACAUUUCUUAAUCCAAGAGCUGAAAAACUAACAGUAUUUUAGCUAGUUCUCUCUCUCUCUCUCUCUCUCUCUCUCUCUAUAUAUAUAUAUAUAUAGAACUAGGCUAGAAUAUUAUUAAUAGUACUAAGUCAUUAGUGUUAUUAGGUUUUCGGCCCUUGGAUGAAACGAUAAGCGGUUAAGAUUAUGGUGGCUCCCUAGGGUUGAGUAGGUAGUUGAUUGAAUAAUAUGAUUUAAUGGGUGAAAAUGACCAAAAGGAGCGAAAAACUUGGUAGCAUCGAGUGCUUGGUACUAUCGAUAGCAUUGUAGCUGGAUUCUCUCUCUCUCUCUCUCUCUCUCUAUAUAUAUAGAGAGAGAGAGAUAUAUAUAUAUAUAUAGAGAGAGAGAGAGAGAGAGAGUGAGUCCAGCUACUAUACUAUCAAUAGUAUCAAACUCUUAGUAUUAUUGAGUUUUCUGCAAUUAGAUUCUUUGAUUAUUUUCACCCGUUAGAUUAUACUAUUCAACCAACUACCAACUCAACCUUAGGGGACCACUAUCAUCCUAACCGCACAUCCUUUCAUCCAACGGGCGAAAACUCAGAUAGCACAAAAUGUUUGGUACUAUCGAUAAUAUAAUAGCAUAUAUAUAUAUAUAUAUAUAUAUAUAUAUAUAUAAUAUAGAGAGAGAGAGAGAGAGAGAGAGAGAGAGAGAGAGAGAGUCCAGUGUUACUAUGCUAUAUAAUAGGCACGGAAGACAGUUGGUGCUACAAGUGUUCUGCCGGUAGUCUACGCAUUUUGAUCAUUUCACUCGUUAGAUCAUACUAUUUCAACCAAGCCACCUCACCACAACAGAAUUAGGUUAAUAGGGACACAUGUUUGGGACACUUUUUGAGUACAGUGUUCAUUUAUGACCGUAAACUUAAGAAAAUAUACUACUAAUCUUAAAGAUAAAGCCCAUCCAACCAACAAAUAAAAGAUUAACUCUAAACUCAACCCUACAAACCCAGCUCUAUUUGGGGCCUGAUUACUAAAUUCAGAAAAGAACCAAAGAAAAAAAACUCCAUUACAUCUUUUCUUCUCUCUCACAACUCAAUCUAACUGAAAAUUCUAGACGAAAGAGCUUUCCUUCGUUCGUCCUUUCCUCACCCGCCACGAGCCAACAGAGAUAGAUGUUUCGGCGGUGCUAAAUGCUUAAAUAAGUGUUUGUAAAUAGCAAGCACUCUUUUAGGUUAUAGCGACAACUCUUUAACUGUCAUAUAUAUUACCCUACGAGCCCCACAUAAUAGCAACACUUUUUAAAAGUGUCGUAAUUUACUAAGCAGCAGUUUUUUGACAUGUACCUAUCUUGAAAAGUGUCGCUAUAAAUGACCGUUUUUGUUGCCAUUUCUAGUGCCUAUUAAAACCCUUGGGGCCACAUCAUUCUAACCGCACAUCUUAACCAAUGGCCAAAACUUGGGUAGCACCAAUGAUUUGUGCUAUUAAUAGUAUUAUUAACCUAGUUAUAUAUAUAUAUAUAUAUAUAUAUAUAAUUAUAUAGAGCCGCCGGCUACUAUAUCUCUUAUAGCAACCGAACGUCUUUUGUUACUGCAUAAUUUUUUACCUUCGUUGUGUCUACUCUGUUAAUCAUUUUCACUCGUGUAGUAUUAUACUAUUCAACCACCCACACACGUCAACUCCUAGGAAACAUGGGCCCCUAUCACCUAACCGUAACACUCUUCAUCGCCCUACCAGCGCACAUUUUUCAGUCUCUGAACCGGUAAGACCGCGAAUUAGUUUAUGAGUACAUUAAGGCUCUAUACUCAUAUGAGUAUACGUCAGCCCUCACCCUAAAUAUAUAUAUACUGUAUAUAGCGCUGGGGCAACCUAUAGCUCUUAUGAUAUAACACAAUCCGUUCAACUCAUAAAUUUUUAACCGUUGAUAUGAUACGAGUAAUAUUGUAGCCUGGGUUAGGAUGGUGGUCUGAUUGGCUUCCCAACUUUAUGUAAUCAUAAUGUCCCUUAGGGUUGAGUGGAUAUGUUGGUUUGUAAUACUAUAAAAAAAAAAUUAACGGGUAAAAUGAUCAACUGGAAUAAUCUAAGGGCCGAAAUUAUGAGUAUGAAGAAAGACAAAUUUAACUCUAAAAAGUAUAAGUAGCUAAACUCAUCAGACAUAACUGAUAUUAAAAUAGACAUUUAUAUAAUAAAACAUAUAAUAUAUAUAGAUAUUAUAUUAUUAUAUAUAUAUAGAAUUAGGCCUACUAUGCUAUUAUGAGCACAAAGUCAUGUGCUACCAAAGUUGUUUGGCCAUUUGAAUUAAAGAGAUAUUACAUGGUUAGGAUAUGUGGCUCCUAACCGGGUUGAGUGAGUUGUUGGAUUGAUAUAGUAUGAUAAUCUAAUCGAUGAAAAUGAUCAAAAGGGCUACAUCUACGACGCGGAAAAAACUUGGUAGCUCAUAAAACAUAAUCUUCGUUGAUUAUUGGAAUCCAGACCUAGUAGCCGGCCGACUCUAAUAUAUAUACUAUGGCUUAUCAACAGGGCCAAAAACUUAUGAGUAUAAGAAGAACCAAAUAACCUAUAUAAAUAUAUCCCUUCGGACUCUCUCUCUCAUCUUCUCAGAUCGUUCACUAGGAUCCGAGUUAUUGCUUCGCCUCCAUUUUCCCCUUCAGUCCAUAUCCAUUACCAAUUCACAUUUACAAAGACACCCAUUAUUAUGACGAAUCAUCUAAAUAUCCAUAAUCAAAACCCUCUAACCCGUCAUACAAAACCCCAAGUUCGAAAUCCCUAGCUAUCGCUUUCAGGUCACCCAUCACCUGAAUUUAUACGGCAACACUCCCACAGCGUAAUAUAUUGGAAUAUUGAAUCGGAUAGCCAGAUAUUGGUCCAUCAUGAUAAUUGUAUUCAAAUAGCAGGCAGCCAUCGUCAGACAUAACAGUUUGACCAAUCACAAAUCAUCCUAGGAAAAUUCCUAGCAAACUUCCUAACGAUGUGAUUCAACAAUAUGAUUCGCGUUUCCUAGUAGAGCCAAGGCAACAGCCUUGCUCUUACUGCACCAAGGAAUCCAUCACUCCAAGAUAAACCAUACUGAGACGGACCAUGCUCUAUCAUCACGCCUUACAUAUCAGCAUCACAAUUUCCUUAUAAUCCUAAGUCCCUUGAAACAAAACGAAUCACGUUCCUUAAAUUCGAAGCGAUCCAUUGAGACUGCUGCCAAUGAAUAAGUUGUUGCUCUGCAAAGCUCAACUUUAGUCAAGUCAAAACAAAGCAGAUCCCCCGAUACCACAUAGUCCAAACUGAAGCACGUACUGACCUACUCAUCUCUCUUACCUUUAGUGCCUUAAGACCGAUGUGAUUCUUCUCUAUGGUAUCAAUCAUUUAACAACUGAUCCAUCUAAAAGUCAGAAUUUUAUAAGUUCUUAGACCAAACAAGAAGUUCAACAUCACAUCACUACCGAGCACAUAGCUCCUCAACAUGUCUAUUCAAAGUGAGAGACAACACUUAGUGUUGAUUACUCAUGAUGUCAGCCAAUAAUAUCGCGACGUAAGGAUAAACAAAUCCCAUCUCUUUCUUAAUAUAAAACAGUGCCCUUACAUGAUACGAUAGUAGGUAUGCUUACAUAAACCUGAAAUACAUAGCCGACUACUGCUGAGGACAAUAAAUGGAUUUUAAAUCACUAAACUGGUUUUUGUUGAUACCAAAACCUCAGGUUGACCUAGCAAUUCCCUCGCUAAUUCCCCGUGAGAAAGCUGUUAGAUCCAAUUGAUUCCAAAUCUAUCCUAAUAGAUAUCAAACGAAGAAUCGCAAAUCUCUCCAACGGGACGCAACCUCGUGUAUCUACCCUCCUCCUAAGCGUAGCUACCACGACCCUGUAUUAUCGAUUGAUCAAUCCCCUUGCCUUAAUUUAAACACAUUUAUUUUUCAAUAACUGAGAGGUCAAGCUCCAUUCCCAUCAUUGUCUGCCAUGAAGUCACUCAUCUCUAUCUUCAUAAGCAACCACACUGCAGCUCCGUGCACUCUAUGAUGUCUGCAAGCUUCUUUAUAAGAAGAGUCUCACGGCCAUACCAUAAAUAUUCCCCCUUCCGCUCAAAAAGUCCGGGCAGAAUAUUCCACUUUCACUUCUACCAAUGGAGGUCCGGAACUCGACUCAGUACUCAUUCAACAGCAUCAACUAGCCGAAGGAAGAAUACCGGCAGCUCUUCACUUCGGAUUCGAAGACAAUCCCUCUAACGUAAGAUAGGGGUUACGGCCUUACUCAUCAUCCGACGUUCUCCAUUUACAAUGCUUGAAAAAUCCUUUCUAGAAUUCACAUCACUGACCAAUCCGGUCAUAACCACAGCUGUUCCCAUACAUCACUACUCGAAUCCAGGUAUUGAAACACUGCGCUCGCUUUGGCGGUUCCCAGAUAUUUAUUGGCCUGACAUAUAACUGAACCAAAGGUGUAAUUAUAAACUUUCUCUAUCCCACCGAUCCGUCAUUGUGCAUAGAUCUGCACUUGUGCAUCGGAAACGAUUAGAUUGUAUCACUUGCAUCAUAAACAGUCUCUCCAAAAUUUAUAGAAUGCCACUUUAAGGUGCAGGUAUCUGCAAACAUUACUAAUAAAUACGUCCUGUCGUCGCAACAUCCAUUGUUCGAGUAGACCCGAAUAGGUUACUGUCGACAAUCUCCAUCUUCGCAUUCUCACAAAAAACUUUGAACUGAUUAGCCAAAGCAACAAUAUGUAGUACACCGCCCGCUGACUGAACUCCGCCCGAUCGCACCGAUUCACGGUUCGAUCCACGUCACUGGCGACGUACAACACCCGUCUCAUUUGACUGCUCCCGCCAAUCGCAACCCGCGUUCGCAGCAAUCUAACUUCAUCAAAUGGUAAACUAUAACACUAGACCCCCUAUCCAUAUAAAAUCAUGAAAGUAGAAAAUAGAACACAUAAUCGGUAUCCCUCACAUUCUGGCCAAUAAAGCGACGCGUACAUCAGUUCGCGCACAGCAGGUGCUCUAUUCUCUAUAUAUAAUAUCAUAUAUAUAUAUAUUAUAUAUAUAGUCCGACUACUAUACUAUCGUGCACGGAAGGCUCCGUGCUACCAAUUAUUUUGAUGGCGGCUGCCACUCGAUGAUCGCUCGUAUAACUUUGAUCUACUACUAUUGAAAAGUAUUUGGGAAACAAAUUUCAAAUUAUUUCAACAUAUUAUGAACUCAGUGAUCAAACGAUCUCAAAUUGACAAUUAUUGUCGAUGUGGGUGUUCUUGAAGUUUAACGGGUAAAACAAUCAAAUCGAUGAAAUUUUAUUGAAAAUUCUAUUUCCAUUAUUUAGUAGUAAGAUCAGUAUAUCUGAUCUUGAUUAAUAAUUUAUCAUCAUUUUUAUGAAUUUUAACUUUUUAGCCGUUCAAUUUAGAUAUACUUUUGUUGUGAUAGGUAAUAGUGAUCGAAAUUAUGAAAUUAAGUGUCUAAAUACUUUUAAUAGUGGUAGAUCAAGUCUAACGGCAGCCGAUCGUUGCGAUUUGAAAAUCGCAUCAUCGAAAAAACAACAUUGGUAGCAGCGGAGCCUCCCCGUGCUAUCGACAGUAUAGGCAGCCAGACAUAUAUAGUAUAUAUACUAUAUCUAUAUAUAUAUAUAUAUAAUUAUAUAUAUAUAUAUAUAUCAAUAUAAUAAUAUAUUAUACUAUAGUCUGGCUGGGGUACUAUCGAUAGCUACAGGAUUUGGUGGCUAUCGAGUUUUGUCGUCGUUUAGAUUUAAUUCUUUGAUUAUUUUUGCCCGUUUUAGAUUAAUACCUAUUCAACACCGCUACUCAGAAGCCCUAGGCCCCACAUCAUCCUAGACCACUCCAUUUCUCACAUCGCAGGGCAAAAUCACUAGCAGCUAAAUAGUUUGUGCUAUUGAAGUAUUAUCAGCCUAUAUAUAUACGUAAUACAAGCUAGGCUCGCUAUAUACUAUCGGUAGUCAUGUGACGCUCUCCGUGCUAAUCAAAGUUGUUUUCAAUGAUGCCGCUUCCAAAUCGAGAGAUUGGCAAAGGAGACUUGAUUUACACUAUUAAAAGUAUUUGAAACUAAUUUCCAUAAUUUUCGGUAUCAAUUUACCUAUUCAACUGAAUAGUCUAAAAAUAAAACGGCUGAAAAUAAAAUCUCAUAAAAAAUAAUGAUAGAAGACUUGAAUUUAAGGUCAGAGGUACUGAACGCUUACUCUAAAUAGUAAAAAGAAUUUUCUAUAAAAAUUUAUAAGCUGAUUUGAAUUUUUACAAUCCGGUUAAUUUACAAAUACAUACAUAUCUACAUUAAAAUUAUCAAUUUUGAGACCCUUUGAUACUAGCCAAAGAUGUCGAAAAUUCUGAAAUUUAAGAGUUUCCAAAUACUGUUUAAUAGUGUAGAUUAACUCUAAUGGCCGAUCGUCGAUUUGGAAGCCGCAUUCAUCGAAAACAAACUUGGUAGCAGGUAAGCCUCCGUGCCUACCGAUAGUAUAGCAGCUGAACUCUCUUCUCUCUCUCUCUCUCUCUCGCCUUCUCUCUCUCUCUCGCGUUCCCUCCAGUCAUCCUCUCUCUCUCUUCUCUAUUAUAUAUAUAUUUAUAGAGUCCGCCGGCUGCUAUCUAUUGAUAGGGGGCACCAACCACUUGUGCUAAUCAAGUUUUCUGGCGCCGUUAGAGUUAACCCCUUUGAUUAUUUUAACCGUUAGAUUAUACUAUUCACCAACUCACCCACCUCAACCUAAGGGCCCACAUCAGUCUAACGUUACAUUUUUUCAAUCCAAUUGGCUUAAAAAACUAAUAGGCACCAAAAGACUUGGUGCUAUUCGAUAGUAUUCCAGUCUAGUAUACUAUAUAUAUAGUAUAUAUAUAUAUAUAUUAUAUAUUAUCAUAUAUAGAAUACGCUACUAUGCUAUUUUAAUAGCACUUAAGUCAUUGGUGCACUAAUGAUUUUUGGCCAUUGAGAUCUAGCAGUAUGUGUGGUUAGGAUGAUGUGGGUCCACUAGGCUGAGUGGGGGUUGGUUGAUAGUAUGGACUAACGGUGAAAGAUCACAAAGGUAGAUCUAACGGCGGAAAACUGUAGUAUCCAAGUGCCUUGCGUGCUAUUAAUAGCAAUAGUAGCCGACUCUAUAUAAUAAUAUACUAUAUAUAUAGAGUAUAUGCCGGGCUACUAUACUCCUUGAUAGUAUAGACCCUUGUACUUAUAAAUUUUAACCAUUGAUUAAUGGGUUAUGGUAGGAUGAUGGUAGUACACACAACCGCACUUAAGAAUGAUAUGGUACCCAGGGGUUGAGUGGUAGUUUGGUUGGAAUCAGUAUGAAUCUAACGGAUAAAAAUGAUCAAUAAAAUAAAUGCUAAGGACGCGAAAGACUUAUAGUAUAUAGGAACCAAUACUCAUACAAGUAUAGUAGCGCAGACUCUCUCUCUCUCUCGACAGCUACUUGUGUCUCUCACCCAGGAUAAUCUCAUCUCUCUGCUCUCUCCUAUAUAUUAAUAUAUAUUAUAAUAUAUAGCCGUGAGGCUAACAAUAUGCUUUCGAAAGGCAAUGGAGCCUUUUUGUGUUUGCCAGUAUCGUUUUCGAUAGUUCGCGAUUUCGAAUGUCGGAUGGCUCCGUUAAACUUGAUUUAGAGUAUUUGACAAUACCUAGAAAAUAAACUUUAAAUGAUUUUUUGAUAUCAAAAUUUUGCCCUAGUGAAUCGAAGGAACUGCAAAUCAAUAAUUUUAAAGGCGCGUGGUGAGGCGUUUGCAAGUUUAAACGGUAAGACAAAUAUAUCAAUCACGUGCAAAUUUGAAUAGAAAAUUCUUUAAGCUAUAAUAAAACAAGAUCAAGAUUUUUGAUCUAGAAAUUUUAAUGUCAUAUAUCACGUUUUGUAAGAUUUAUUUUCAGCUGUGAUUUGAAUCCGCCUUAGUUCACAUAGGCAAAUUGAAUAUUGAAAAAUCAUACAAUUUAUUUUCUAGGUACUUUUCGAGUAACUUCCAAGAUUAGUUUAACGGAGCCAAUUCGACGAUGUCGAAAAGUUCUAUAUUAUAAUAUAUAGAUAUUAUAUAUAUAUAUAUUUAUAUAUAUAUAUAUAUAUAUAUAUAUAUAUAUAAUAUAUAUAUACUAUAUAUAUAUUCUACCACUACCUAGAGAGAGAGAGAGAGUACCUCCCCUAAACACUCUGUCUCUGUCGUAUUACUCUUUAUUAAAUAUUAAGGAGUGGGGUUAAAGAUGAAUAGAGUGUGGGAUAUACGGUUGUUAUCUGCAAAGGCAAUGCUGCUAUAUAUGUAGUACAUUUGUCCAAGGAUCACCUAAAAACCUAUAGACAAGGUAUAAAAUUUAUCUCUUCUAUAUAUUUACCUGCUAGUCUUAUUAAGUUUUUUAUAUCAAAAUAACAAUGCAUGUACAUUCCAAAAAAGGAUAUAAAUUUACACCCGACCAUCAAAAAGGCCCUUAAUUAUUGCAUUCUUGUCUCGUCAACAUUUUUCAAUUAUAUUAUUACAAAGGUUUUCAAGUCUGAAUCCUGCUAUGUUGCUAGUCUCGUUUUAUAAGAAAUUGUUAUUUAAAAGACCAUGAUUUUGAACACCUAGAUCUUCUGAUUGUCAUAGAACACAUCUAAUAAUUAGAUUCUAAACUUCAAAUGAUCUCUCGUAGAAUUUUAGAUGUGCGAUGUAUAAGAUAUAUCAAUAGGCAAUGUGUAGCGAAUAAUUUUUAGGGAGAAAGUGGGGUUUGAUUAGCUUCCCCACUCAUAAAAUGUUAUAUGAGGCAAGCUUGCCGAGAGCAGUACCGACUGCCUGCUGUACCGUCCCCAAGUCCUUGACGCUUGACCUGGUGGCAGCAGUUUUUACGAAAACAACGCCAGUGUCCGGUGACCACCGUUCGUUCGUAGUUCGUUCGCGCCAGUGUCCGGUCACUACCGUUCGUUCGUAGUUCGUUCGCACCUAACGUAGUUGGUUAAGAAUUUAAAACUAGGGCUACUAUACUCUUAUGAGUAUAGCUCAUUUUGUAUUCAUAAAUUUUUAAUUAUUGGAUAAAGAGAUGUGCGGUUAAGAUGAUAGCGGUCCCUUAAAAUUGAGUAGGUAGUUGGUUGAAUAGUAUGAUCUAACGGGUGGAAAUGAUCAAAAAAAUAGACCUAACGAUAAAAAAUUCAAGAGUAUAAAGGGCACUAUACCAAUAAGAGUAUAGUAGCCGGACUCAUAAUUUAAUGAUUAUUAUCUGAGUUGUCGAAUUCGAAAACUAGUUGUCCUCAUAGUAAAAUAAAAAUAAAAGGAUUAAUUGUAUACAGUUUUCUGUAAAUAUAUCGAAUGAUAAAUAAAUUCUUACAAAGUUCAAUUUUUUAUCUUUAUUCCUUUAAAAGUCUGAUGAUAUUGAUUUUGUUACCGUUAGAGCACAGUUUAUUUUUUUACAGUGGUUAAGUGAAAUGACAUUUUUAUCCUUAUAAAUUUAUCUCUCAAGAAAUUCCAACUGUUAGAAUUAUAUAGAAAUGUCAUCCUCAAAAAUAUUUUACCUAAUAAUAUAAAAGGGAUAAAAAAAAUCAAUUUAACUCAUUUACUAACUAAGAUUAAGUAUUUUACUAAUAGUUAACUAUAUUUUUCUAAUGGAUCCUAAUAGUAGGGGUAUAUUUGAAAACGAGAGGACUUUUGGAGGGAUAAAAGAUGAAAAUAAAAAAUUGAAAUUUGCAUAAAUAUCUGCUAUUCGAUAUAUGUACAGAAAGCUGUACGCAAUUAACCUAAAAUAAAAUUACAUGAUAAUUAAGUGUAAUAUUUUUGAACCACGGAAUAACAAAAUAAGAAUACGCUAAAUCACACAGAGUAGGGGAAAUUGAAGGUUUUUUCUUUAUUUAAUUCCCAUGUUAAGAAGAAUCACAGGAUAGGUGUGGACAAAGUGGUGUCGAGCUCGGGCCAAUGCUGCAGAUCUAAACUCAGACUUGGAUCAAAGAAAGAAUAUUGGAGAAUGGAGAUCCCAAGACAAGUUUGUGUGUGGUACCCAGCACACAUGCAUCAUGAUUCUACAUCGAGAUCCAACACAUAUACAUAUGUUCAAAAUUCAUAACACAACAAAAAGUCUCUUCCACAACAUAUUAUGUAGCAUCACAGAUCUAGAGAUCUAGAGAGAGAGAGAGAGAGAGAGAGAGAGAGAGAGAGAGAGAGAGUGUGGAGAAAUUAUUGCUUGGACUAUGAUCUACAUAUAUGUAGUACGAAGUUUCCAGAAACUCAAAUUUACAGAAUUUUAAAGUUAAAUGUAUACAAUUAGAUAAAAGGUACAACACAAAAGCUUCUAUCCUAAAAGUUAUACUCUUUUUACUUUCUAACUCAUAUUAGAGUUUUGAAUUAAUUUCAUACAGGUCUCUACUAGCAUAGUAAAUGACAAAUAUAUUUCUACAAAGUUCAACUUUUAUAUAUUGUCCAUACAAAAGUCUCGAUAUUUUCAAAUAUAUCCUUACCGUUAGAAUCCGUUAGAAAAAAUUAAUUCAAAACUCUAAUAUGAGUUAGAAAGUAAAAAGAGUUUUGAAUUAAUUUCAUACAGGUCUCUACUAGCAUAGUAAAUGACAAAUAUAUUUCUACAAAGUUCAACUUUUAUAUAUUGUCCAUACAAAAGUCUCGAUAUUUUCAAAUAUAUCCUUACCGUUAGAAUCCGUUAGAAAAAAUUAAUUAACCAUAGAUUAAAUACUUAACACUGGUUAGUUUUUGACAUUUUUCCUCUUUUUAUAUUAUAUUGUUAUGCCUUUUGGAGGGAUACAUUUGUGACAAUAAAAUUGAAAAUAUAAACAGUUUUAUAACGGUAAUAAACUAGAAGGAUAUAUCAGGGCUUUUAUAUGAAUAACAUAUAAAAGUUGAACUUUGUAGGGAUAUAUUUAUUAUUCAUUAUAUUUGUAGGGACCUGUAUGAAAUUAAUUCUAAAUCUUUUGACAAUAUCCCCAAUCAAAAGUUGGCUUAAAAGGCCGGAAUUUUGAUUUGUAUUUUUUUUUUUUUUUUUUUUUGAGAGAUAGAUAGCACGCUGUUCGUUUCGUUUAUUUCAUUUAGAAAUAAACUUGGUUGGAAAUGUGAAUCGACUAGGAUUUUGAUUUGUAUUUCAAAAUGGACUAAGCUAGAUAGGAAUCGAAUGAAACCCAAUCUAAGCAAAACUAAAUUGAAACGAGGCUUGACUAGAAUUAAACUGGAGCAUUAGCAUAAAAUUGCGGAUGGGAAAAUCGAACUCAGAAUCUCUUAAGAUGGAAGAAACGUAGGACAGGCUCUUAUACCAUAUUACGCAAAGGAUCAAUCCAGUAAUAAAUAAUCUAGAAUUCGUCUUAGCAAUUAACCUCCUUCUUUGGACAUCACGAGGUUCAUGAGCAUGGUUUAUCUAAUAUCCACGGUUCAUCUUAUAUUCACCAUGCAUGCGAUCAGAUUCGUAAUGACGAACUAAUCUUAAAUUGUUUCAUACUAAAUUGAUCUUUUGUAACAUUCAAGACAUCAAGCUUAGGAAUUUGGUAGAGGAGAGAGAGAGAGAGAGAGAGAGAGAGAGAGAGAGAGAGGGGUUUGUUAAUUAGGGUUUGUCUCUUCUUUGGUCCUCUUUCUAUAAAACCAAUUGCUUUUACUAUCUACUGCAGCAGCAGCAGGAAGCAGCAGCAGCAGCGCAUGGAGGGUCCUUUUUACACUGCCCAUUCCGCCAGUCUUCACAUGCCUCUCCAGGCCCCAUUCCCAGCCUGGGCCCCUGCUCCUACAAAGAGAAAUUGCUGCCCGCACCAACUGCACCACAUUACCUGUGACACACAUCCUUAGUUACAUUUUUUGUAUACAUGCAUGAUGCAUAUGCAUCUUAAAGAUCUUAAAGAUCAGAAGUAGUUUGAUCUCUUCCAUUGUAGAGCUUUUCUAGCGCUUCUAUAUGCUGCAAAAAAAUAAGAAUUGAGAUUCUAAUACCCAUAUAUACCCAUAUUCAGAAACUUCAAUUUGAUACUUCCACUGUUUUGCAAUAAAGAAGUCUUCGCAUUAACGUAAUCCCAAGGCAAACGUGCAGAGAGUAGUAUAUAUAAUUCGACUCGUAGGUGUUGAAUAUAAAAAUAUUAAAAAACUGUUCUUUAAGCUAUCGUUUAGUUCGGGAAAUAAGCUAUUUUAGGCUAUCCCUGGUAUAGGUACAACUUUAGUUAAUAACAAUUAGAUAAUUAAAUUAGUCAAAAUAUUAAUUAAUUAAUCAAUAUGAAUAUUGGUUAUGUCAAAUAAUUAAUUAAUUAAUUAAUAAUUAUUUAAUUAGCAAAUUAAUUAAAAUAAUAAAUUUAAUAACUCAAAUAGCUAAUUAAAUAUUUAUUAGAGUAAUAAAUUAAGUACUACAAUUAAUGAUUUUAUAAUAAAAAUAAUAUAUUAUAAUAUAUAACAUAUUAUGUCUAUAUAAUUUAAUUUUAAUUCAAUUUAUAAUUUAAUAAAACUUUGGAAUAGCAUUAUUCUACCAAAAUGGUAGAACAGUAAAUUACAAACUAUUCCGAAAUAGUCGGGAAUAGCAAUGUUUGAGCAGGAUAAAAUAUUUCAGCCCAAAUACACUCCGUUUGGUCGGAUAGUGGGAUAACUUUCGUUAUCCCUGUUUUAUCCCCGAACCAAACGGGGCCUGAUAGCUUAAAUUACAUGAAAAUAAUGUUUGCUUCAUGCAAUUUAACAUAGUAUCAGUGUAUGAGGUUCCGAAUUGGGAUUUCGUUUAAUUCAUAUCCCUAUAAAAAGUUUCAAUUUUAGAGGUGAAAAAGAGUGUUGAAUACAAAAAUAUAAAAGUACUGUUUUCUAACAGAUCAAAAUAUUGUAACACGCAUAUUUAUCUAACAAAUAAGCUUUUAUUUUUGAAGUAUAGGUGCACAUAUGGUGGUACAUCAAGUGCAAGCAAAAAUUUCUCCUACUACAGCAUUUCCCUUCUAAAAGGGAAAUUAGAGCUCUCAUUGCAUAUUCUCAAUACAAAUGGACCAAAUAGGUGUUCUAUAUAAUAAAAGAAAAAACUUCAAAUACCACCCUUAUGGUUUGGCACUUUUCGCUUUAGUACCCUGUGGUUUAAAAUGUAUCAAUUUAGUAUCCUGUGGUUUUGCAUUUUCUCACUUUAGUUCCCUGUGGUUUAAAGUAUAUCAAUUUAGUACUCUGUGGUUUCAUUUUUUUCUUUUCGUCUCAGCUCCUCUGUUAAUAUUUCUUUAAAUUAUAUACAAAAAACUUUAGAUACCCUGCAUAAGUUUAUUUAAUAUUUACUUUAGUACCCUUUUGUUUUAACUUUGUCACUGAUUUUUUUUUCCUCCAUUAAUAUUUCAUUAAAUUAUAUACGAAAAACUUCAGAUACCCUACAUAGGUUUAUCGAAUAUUUACAUUAGUACCCUUUAGUUUUAACUCUAUCACUGAUUUAAUGAAAAAAAAAAUAGUGAAAUAGAUAAUAAAAAGAAAAAAAUAAAACCACAGGGUACUAACUUGAUACACUUUAAACUAUAGGAUAUUCAAGUGAGAAAGUGCGAAGCCACAGGGGUUAAAUUGAUACAUUUUAAACCACAAAGUACUAAAGUGAGAAAGUGUGAAACCAAGUGCAGGUAUUUGAAGUUUACCCAUAAUAAAAAGAGUGAGAGUGUGUUGAGUACUUUAGAAAUUCUCUGUGUAGUAGUAGUAGGUUCCUUAGAAGGCUCUGUGUACAAAGUUGAGAGGGACGUAAAGCAAAACCCUUUUUCUUUUGCAGAGAGAGGCAUCAAAAGGGUGCAGGGGGGAGAUAAUGAGCAUGCAAAAUUUCAAUACAAAAGAAGAGUGGACAUGUAAAAUAAAAUACAAAAAAUAAAAAAAAGUAUUUUGUGUGCUUAGACACACUUUUUUGUCAGGUUUUUUAGUACAAUAAUUUUUUCCUAAAAUUUUAUUCUACAAAUAGAAAUGUUAAAUUUUUAUUUAUAAAUAUGGUCUUAUAAAAGCGGUGAAUGGUUCACCGCUUUUAUUCUUUUUUCACUCCUAAUGAGAAGUAAUGAAUACGGCGAAUCAUUCACCGCAUUUAGAAUUCUAUUUUUAUAAUUAUUUUUUAACAAAAAUUAUUUUUAUAAUUAUAAAAAUCGAUAGGAUUAUUUAUAAAUAAAAUUCCUUUUUUGUCUCUAUGCAACUCAGAACUUUGUCCUUUCCUUCGCACGCAAUGUUUUGAGGGGGAGUGCAUGGUCUUGACCGAAUCAUGUUGUUGUCAACAGGUUAAGCUGGAUCCAAUACAUUAGGGUGAUGAUAUGGUCAAUUUGGAGUGUUGUUUAUACAUAAAAACCUAAAUUUGGAACAUAGGUGCAUGUUUGUAAUUUACAUGUAUAUUAUUUUGUAGACAAUUAUUCAUUUGCAUUUUACGAACCGGUGGUCUGGUUGAAAAGUAUCAUCGGAUUCAUCGAGUCGUGCUUUUAACAAACAUUUGAAUGCUUAAAUAUGUGACUUUUUUUUUAUAGUUGCGUACUCUGGAGCUGGGAUAUCAACUACUAAGACUUUCGCAAGUUGCCCUACAAAUAAUACCAUAAAUUAGAAUGAACAACAGAGAAUUCCAGUGUGAGAAUAACUGAGUUCGAGUCACGCCCAUCCCUAAAUUGCUAUGACAAAAUUGAGCCACUGUAGGAGAUACUUGAGUUCUAGUUCCUGCAGUAAGGUAAGGUUCAGAUGCAGAGAAAAAGGCAAUCUAUAUGUUAUUAAGAUAAAAACAUCCGGGUCUUACCUAAAUUACGGAUCAUUUGAAUUUGAUUACUGAAUCUUUCAAAAUUUAGAUUUUAUUAUCUAAUUUUUCAAUUUAUUUUAGUUGAGUCGGUCAAUAGGACUUUGGCUCUAAAAUUUAAAUUAAUUACUUAUUUUUAUAAACUUAUAAUUAUAAAAAUUAUAUAAAAUAUAGUAACUAAAUUUGUAAAGAUAAAAAACACGCAUUCAAGUUUUAAAAUCAAAGUAUUGUUGACUGACUCAAAUCAAAUAAAUCGAAAGAUUAGAUAAUAUAAUUAAAAUUUUAAAAAGUUGGAUAGCUAGAUCCAAAUAAUCUAUAGUUUAACUAAGAUUCAUACGUUUUUAUCUAUUAUUAAAAUAA
rnacentral:lncRNA from 1 species